rnacentral:rRNA from 1 species
UACGUAGGAUGCAAGCGUUGUCCGGAAUUAUUGGGCGUAAAGAGUGUGUAGGCGGUGCUCUAAGUUCGGUGUGAAAUCUCCCGGCUUAACUGGGAGGGUGCGCCGGAAACUGGAGUGCUCGAGCGUGGGAGAGGAAAGCGGAAUUCCUGGUGUAGCGGUGAAAUGCGUAGAUAUCAGGAGGAACACCUGCGGUGUAGACGGCUUUCUGGACCAUUGCUGACGCUGAGACACGAAAGCGUGGGUAGCAAACAGG